rnacentral:lncRNA from 1 species
UUUGGUUUUAUAAAUAAUGCUGCCUUGAGCAUUCCCAAAUAAAUCUUUUGGGAACACAUUUUCAUAAAGAUAGACACCUAUGAAUGGGAUUUCUGGGUUUUAUGGUAAAUUCCUGUUUAACUUUUUAAAAAAUUGCCAGAUUGUUUUACAAAGUGGCCAUACCACUUUACAUUUUUGCUGGCAACAUAUGGUACAAUGUAUAUUUCAGUCUCUCUAUAUCCUGGCCAACACUUGUUAUAAUAUGACUUUUUGAUUAUAGCCAUUAUCUUCAGUGUGAGGUAGUAGUGAAUUUGAUUUUAAUUUACAUUUUCCUAAUAACAAAUGAUAUUGAGAAUCUUUUCAUGUACUUAUUAUCCAUUUGUGUAUAUUUUUUUCUGGUGAAACAUCUAUUCAAAACUUUUGUCCAUUUUUAAAUUGUCUUAUGCUAGCUUUUACCCAUAUCUUUUCUUACUACUUCACUGGAAAGAGUUCAUAUUCCUCACUUAGAUAGGAUUUCUCUAUCCUCAAUAGAGAAAUUGAGUCAGAUAGAGGUUAAGUAAUAUGCCCAGGGUCAUUCAUCCAACAAAUAACGGAAGGGGAUCUUCUGGCUUGAAAGCCUCAGAUUUCCCUAUUAAAAUUAUAGUCUGGUCAUUAGUGGUUGCUUGUAGCCCAUAGUCAUGUCUAUAUGAUCCAUACCACGAAAAAAAAUACAACUAAGACUUAGAAAUUGGAAAUCAAACAAAUACAGAAAUCCAAAUUUCUGGCUUCUUGUGAAAUGAUAGCAGAUCUAACAGCACUGGCCACAUUCCUGAACAAAAGCCUUCUGUAAGAGCUGAGUAGCAGUCCCCAGCUCUAGACAGACCAGGUGCUCACCAGGCAGCCAUACACAGUCCAACCUUCACUUUAUUCACUGACAUUCCAACCCUGUAGGUAUUCAAGUUUACAACCAUCACCCUGCAACAGGCUGUGUGUGCUCUGUGCCUUCAUGGGAAACUCUUCUUCACAUAGGUAAAAACAAAAGCAAAACAAAACAAAACGCCUCUACUAGGACAUAUGCACGUAAAAACUAUACAAAGCCAUCUGUGGCACAAAGACUCUGCAAUUUGGGACAAUAUUCACUGUAGAACAAAGUUCCCCUGGGACAGUGGUUAAAAAAAAGGCUUCUAAUUCAUUUCUCCAUAACCAAUACAUAAAACAAUAUUGUAAAAUUGGAACUGCUCUGAAAAAAAAAAAAAAAACAGUAGGGUUGGAGUUGUGCUUUAUUCCUAUCUUACAGAAAAAGAAACUGAAGCUCAGAGAGGUUCAGUGAUUAACCCAGAAUCACACAGCUAUUGGGGAAAUGAUACAGUUAGAAUCCAACCUAAAGCCUUUGAGAACUGAGGUCAGGGCUCCUAGCUACCCUGGAGUUGCCCUCUGUGAGCCAUUCUCCUCACUUAGAGUAAAUCUGCCUUGUUAGCAUCUGUGUUUCCAGUCCUGGCACAAUAGCUGACACACAGAAGAUGCUUUAUAAAUCUCUGUUAAGUGAAUAAAAAUACUAACAUAAACAUUUAUGAUAAAAACGUUACCAUUUACUUUGGUAACCAAUAUGGAGAUUCAGGUGAAAGAAAAAUAGAGUGUAGUGCAAUUAUUUUAAUGUAGCUGAGCAUUCAACUACAUUGGAGGGGAAAAGAUCACACAUUGAACAUGUUCUAUGUACAGGGUGUUGCUCUUGUUGCUAUGCAAGGGGGUAUAAUGCACAGUGCAGGAUGCACUUUGGUUUAGAGAGAUCUUGGGAAGGAAAAUGAUUUAUUAAGUACCUAGCUGCCCCACUUAUUCUGUUUCCCAUAAGUCCCACCACCCUGUAACCUAUAUAUAAGCAUUCCCAUCCCAGAUCCAAAAAUGAAAAUAUAAAUGACCUGCUCAAAGUUACCCAUGCUUGAUGAAGCCCACUUCCUUGCACUACUCCACAAAAGACUUAACAUUUAGGUUCGUGACCCAAAAUAAGAACAGAGGAAAACAAUGCCUGAACUAUUAAGGCAGCUCAAGAUUCACUUCAGAAGUUAUGUGAAUUGAAAGGAGGGGGACUCUCUGAGCCUUGAUUUCCUCAUCUACUCCCAGUGAGGCUGUGAGGAGUAGCUACCUCGGUGGAUGUGGAAGGGCUUUUGAGAUAGAAAAUAUAAAAUGCAUUGUCCUAAGCCAUUGUGUAUGGUCUCUGUCCUCUCAACUUUUCCAAAACCGUUCUUUCCAAGAUCAUCAAUGACCUCUUAUUAAUCAAAGGAGUAACAUUUUCUCAGUCUUUUCCAGCCAUCCUCUCCCUGCAACCUCUCAGAAAUAUAUUUGAUACUGGUACCCACUCCCUCCACUUUUUUUUCUGAAACAGACUGUCUCCAUCUCUAUCGUUACCUCUGUUUCUCUUUCUCUCUGUCUCUCUCUGUUUCUCUCUGUCUCUGUCUCUGUCUCUCUCUCUCUCUCUCUCACACACACACACACACACGCACACACACACCAUUAUGGGUUGAAUUGUGUGUCCCCCCCCCCCCCCCCCCCCCGCAAAUUCAUAUGUUGAAGUUCUAACUUCUAGUAAGUACCCAGGGUAUGACCAUUUUUGGAAACAGGGCCUAUAGACAUAAUCAAGUUAAAAUGAGGUCAUUAGGGUGGGUGCUAAUCCAAUUCAACUGACAUCCUUAUAAAAAGGGGAAAUUUGAACACACCUACACAUAUGUAGAAUAUCAUGUAGAAACUAGGGUUAUGCUGCUGCUGGCCAAAGAACUAAUAUAAGCUAGGAGAAAAGACAUGAAACAUCUUUCCUUAAUGCCCUCAGAGAGAGCAUGGCCCUGCCAGCACAUUGAUCUCAGACUUCUAGCCUUUGGAACUAUUCGAGAAUAAAUUUUUGUUGUUUAAGGCAUUCCAUUUGUGGUGUUUUUUAUGGUAAUCCUAGCAACUAAUACACACACACACACACAUCACAUGCAUAUUACAUCUCUUCAGAUCAUUCCUUCUUUAGUUCCUUUUCUUUCCCCCAAAUCUUUGUGUACCUCUUCUCCAAGGACAGGCCUCAUAUCUCUCAUUUCCCUCUGUA